rnacentral:rRNA from 1 species
UCGUCCUACGGGGGGCAGCAGUGGGGAAUAUUGGGCAAUGGAGGAAACUCUUACCCAGCAAUGCCGCGUGAAUGAAGAAGGUCUUCGGAUUGUAAAGUUCUUUAAUUGGGGACGAAAAAAAUGACGGUACCCAAGGAAUAAGCCCAGGCUAACUACGUGCCAGCAGCCGCGGUAAUACGUAGGGGGCAAGAGUUGUUCGGAAUGACUGGGCGUAAAGGGUGCGUAGGCGGGGUAGCAAGUUAGAAGUGAA